GAACCUGCAUAUUCCUUCAGGAGGAAUGCUGUUACUACAUCAACGAGUCCGGAGUAGUGGAGCAAAACCCCCCUGCCUCCUCAAGUUCAUCUGCUCCCGGAUUGCGGAGAUGUCAUGGGCGACUGUGAAUCAGCUCCUGCUGCAUCCCUACACUCGGCUCCCCUCCGACCUGCCUCUGCCUAACCCUGGCCUUUA